AAACCUCGACGGGAGUCGAACCCGUGCCUUCGACACAGUAGUCGACGUGCUACACGCUACACUACAAGGUU